UACGUAGGGGGCGAGCGUUGUCCGGAUUUAUUGGGCGUAAAGGGCGUGUAGGCGGCUUUUUAAGUCGGGGGUGAAAAUCCAGGGCUCAACCCUGGGACUGCCUCCGAAACUGGGAAGCUUGAGUGCUCUAGAGGGUAGUGGAAUUCCCGGUGUAGCAGUGAAAUGCGUAGAGAUCGGGAGGAACACCAGUGGCGAAGGCGACUGCCUGGGGGGUAACUGACGCUGAGGCGCGAAAGCUGGGGGAGCAAACGGG
rnacentral:rRNA from 1 species